rnacentral:rRNA from 1 species
UAACAAGGAUUCCCCUAGUAACUGCGAGUGAAGCGGGAAAAGCUCAAAUUUGAAAUCUGGUAGUCUUCGAUUGCCCGAGUUGUAAUCUAGAGAAGUGUUACCCGCGUUGGACCGUGUACAAGUCUCCUGGAAUGGAGCGUCAUAGAGGGUGAGAAUCCCGUCUUUGACACGGACUGCCAAGGCUUUGUGGUGCGCUCUCAAAGAGUCGAGUUGUUUGGGAAUGCAGCUCAAAAUGGGUGGUAAAUGCCAUCUAAAGCUAAAUACAGGCGAGAGACCGAUAGCGAACAAGUACCGUGAGGGAAAGAUGAAAAGAACUUUGGAAAGAGAGUUAAACAGUACGUGAAAUUGCUGAAAGGGAAACGCUUGAAGUCAGUCGCGUUGGCUGGGAAUCAACCUUGCUUUUGCUUGGUGUACUUUCUAGUUAACGGGUCAGCAUCAGUUUUGAUCAGUGGAUAAAGGCAUGAGAAAUGUGGCUUCCUCGGAAGUGUUAUAGUCUUGUGUUGUAUACAUUGGUUGGGACUGAGGAACUCAGCACGCCGCAAGCCGGGGUUCGCCCACGUUCGUGCUUAGGAUGCUGGCAAAAUGGCUUUAAUCGACCCGUCUUGAAACACGGACCAAGGAGUCUAACAUGCCUGCGAGUGUUUGGGUGGAAAACCCGAGCGCGUAAUGAAAGUGAAAGUUGAGAUCCCUGUCGUGGGGAGCAUCGACGCCCGGACCAGACCUUYUGUGACGGAUCCGCGGUAGAGCAUGUAUGUUGGGACCCGAAAGAUGGUGAACUAUGCCUGAAUAGGGUGAAGCCAGAGGAAACUCUGGUGGAGGCUCGUAGCGAUUCUGACGUGCAAAUCGAUCGUCAAAUUUGGGUAUAGGGGCGAAAGACUAAUCGAACCAUCUAGUAGCUGGUUCC